rnacentral:piRNA from 1 species
UUUGAAGCAGUGGUCUUCAUGACAUUGAGU